GGGACGUAUACGGAGCUGGGUUUCUGUGGACUCCUCCGGUCGAUGAUAAGAGAGCAAAUAUUUGUAGAGAAGUUUGUAUAAGGGUAAGUAACAGCCGUUCGAAUAUGGAGUCGAAGUGCUGCAUUGAACCCGUCUAUACGAGCGGAUGAGAUGGAUUUCUGUGGAUCAUUAUGACGGCCGAGAUUGUUUCCGCAUAGGGGUUGUAUGCGCGUGCUUGGAAGAGGGAUGUGCUGGACUUGCUCCGCAAGAAUUGGACGCGGCUAGAUUGGGCGGCCAGGUGGGGUUUCGGGUCGGCGGUGAGGCGCUCGUGGGGGAGCCCAGGAUUUGAACUUUUUUGAAUGACAAUGUGGAGACCACGGUUGGACCCACGCGCAUAGAGGAGCACUGCUGUCU
rnacentral:lncRNA from 1 species